CCUACGGGGGGCUGCAGUGGGGAAUUUUGGACAAUGGGCGCAAGCCUGAUCCAGCAAUGCCGCGUGCAGGAAGAAGGCCUUCGGGUUGUAAACUGCUUUUGUACGGAACGAAACGGUCCUGGUUAAUACCCGGGGCUAAUGACGGUACCGUAAGAAUAAGCACCGGCUAACUACGUGCCAGCAGCCGCGGUAAUACGUAGGGUGCAAGCGUUAAUCGGAAUUACUGGGCGUAAAGCGUGCGCAGGCGGUGCUGUAAGACAGGCGUGAAAUCCCCGGGCUUAACCUGGGAAUUGCGCUUGUGACUGCAGUGCUGGAGUGCGGCAGAGGGGGAUGGAAUUCCGCGUGUAGCAGUGAAAUGCGUAGAUAUGCGGAGGAACACCGAUGGCGAAGGCAAUCCCCUGGGCCUGCACUGACGCUCAUGCACGAAAGCGUGGGGAGCAAACAGGAUUAGAUACCCUAGUAGUC
rnacentral:rRNA from 1 species